GUAUUUUGUAGUGGUAAAGUUAUUUUUGCUGGUCAACCUCUUGGAUUGAUAGUAGCAGAGGACCAAAUAACUGCUGAUAGCGCAGCUGAAAUGGUUAAAGUUACGUAUAAAAAUGUUCUGCCUCCGAUUUUAACUAUUGAUUCUGCCAUUCGAAAUAAUUCAUUCUUUACACCUUUAACUGGACUUAGUGCUGGAGAUGCAGAUGGUGCCAUAGCUAAAUCAGCUCAUCAACUAACAGGCCAGAUAUUUUGUACUGAACAGUAUCAUUAUCAUCUCGAAACACAGAUAUCAAUUUGCUACCCCACGGAAGAUGGAAUGAAUAUAUUGGCAGGUGCACAGUGGCUCAAUGGAGUUCAACGAGCAGUUGGUCAGGUUUUAAAUGUCCCUGCUAGUACUAUAACAGUGGAAGUAAAGAGAAUAGGUGGAGCUUUUGGGGCUAAAAUUACACGUAAUUGUCCCGUAUCAACAGCUUGUGCAUUGGCAGCUCACAUUUUAAACAGACCUGUCCGUUUGAUGGUGAAUAUCCACACUAAUAUGAAAACACUAGGAAAAAGAAUGCCAUGUCAAG